GGCAGGGGGUUUGCGAGCACCCCGUGAGGCGACAGCCCAAGAUUCGCGUCCAUCAACCCUCGAAUGGGAGGACGCACCAUG
rnacentral:ncRNA from 1 species